rnacentral:rRNA from 1 species
GAUGAACGCUGGCGGCGUGCCUAACACAUGCAAGUCGAGCGAGAAGUUUGUAAAGGAUACUUCGGUUGAAUUUAUAAAUGGAAAGCGGCGGACGGGUGAGUAACGCGUAGGCAACCUGCCCCAUACAGAGGGAUAGCAAUGGGAAACCGUUAUUAAAACCUCAUAAUACAGCAUAACUGCAUAGUUGAGCUGUCAAAGAUUUAUCGGUAUGGGAUGGGCCUGCGUCUGAUUAGCUAGUUGGUAAGGUAACGGCUUACCAAGGCAACGAUCAGUAGCCGACCUGAGAGGGUGAUCGGCCACAUUGGAACUGAGACACGGUCCAAACUCCUACGGGAGGCAGCAGUGGGGAAUAUUGCACAAUGGGCGAAAGCCUGAUGCAGCAACGCCGCGUGAACGAUGAAGGCCUUUGGGUCGUAAAGUUCUGUCCAUAGGGAAGAUAAUGACGGUACCUUUGGAGGAAGCCCCGGCUAACUACGUGCCAGCAGCCGCGGUAAUACGUAGGGGGCGAGCGUUAUCCGGAAUUAUUGGGCGUAAAGAGUAUGUAGGUGGUCUCUUAAGCCUGGGGUUUAAGGCAAUGGCUUAACCAUUGUAUGCCCUAGGAACUGGGGGACUUGAGUGCAGGAGGGGAAAGCGGAAUUCCUAGUGUAGCGGUGAAAUGCAUAGAUAUUAGGAGGAACACCAGUGGCGAAGGCGGCUUUCUGGACUGCAACUGACACUCAAAUACGAAAGCGUGGGGAGCAAACAGG